GAUCAUGGCUCAGGAUGAACGCUGGCGGCGUGCUUAACACAUGCAAGUCGAACGGACUUUACAUGAAGCCUAGCGAUUGUAAAGUUAGUGGCGGACGGGUGAGUAACGCGUGAAUAACCUGCCUUAUACUGGGGGACAACAGUUGGAAACGACUGCUAAUACCGCAUAAGCGCACUAAAGCUGCAUGGCUCAGUGUGAAAAACUCCGGUAAGAGAGGAGCCCGCGUCUGAUUAGCUAGUUGGUGAGGUAACGGCUCACCAAGGCGACGAUCAGUAGCCGAACUGAGAGGUUGAUCGGCCACAUUGGGACUGAGACACGGCCCAGACUCCUACGGGAGGCAGCAGUGGGGAAUAUUGCACAAUGGGCGAAAGCCUGAUGCAGCAACGCCGCGUGAGGGAAGACGGUUUUCGGAUUGUAAACCUCUGUCUUUGGUGAAGAUAAUGACGGUAGCCAAGGAGGAAGCCACGGCUAACUACGUG
rnacentral:rRNA from 1 species